rnacentral:lncRNA from 1 species
AUAGAUCUAUUUUUCUCGUUUAUUUUUAAUUUAAACUUGUUCUUUCACUUUGAAUCUCUAACAUAGGUUUCAAGUAAAAGAAGGACCCAAAUCACACAGGGGGGCAGAAAGGCAUACCUUCCAUUAGGUGCCCUCACUGCCCUGGUUAGAAUAAUACUAUUCAUGGGCUUUCACCCAAUAGUUUAAGUGUUUGGGAUAGUUGAUUUAUAACUUUAUAUUAAAGCCUCCAAGACCAUGUGAUCUAGAAGAAUUUGAUCUUUG